rnacentral:lncRNA from 1 species
GCAUCCUUAAAGGCUGGUUUACAUUUGAUGAUUCUGUGAUCACCGAGCCAGUUCCCUCAAACAUUUCUUACAAAUCCUUUAAAGCGUAGCUUGUGCCUAUUCAAAAUGGCUACUGAAACUUACUGAGAUAACAGAAACUUUGACAGUGCAGUAAAGCAGCCUUUAGUAUUGAAGUCUUAUUUUUCAACUAAUUAAUUUUCCAUGCAUGAUCGUCCCAAUGGCAAUUAGUUUACCUUUGUUUUUGCUGCAAAAAAUCAUUUAAUAUCCAGCAACUUUGACAAUGAACUUGAGUUUAUCAAGACGGGGUCCUGAGGAUUUUUCUAUUACAAAGAUAUACUGUAUAAUUACA